rnacentral:rRNA from 1 species
AUUGAACGCUGGCGGCAUGCUUUACACAUGUAAGUCGAACGGCAGCGCGGGCUUCGGCCUGGCGGCGAGUGGCGAACGGGUGAGUAAUGCAUCGGAACGUGCCCAGUAGUGGGGGAUAGCCCGGCGAAAGCCGGAUUAAUACCGCAUACGACCUGAGGGUGAAAGCGGGGGACCGAAAGGCCUCGCGCUAUUGGAGCGGCCGAUGUCGGAUUAGCUAGUUGGUGGGGUAAAGGCUUACCAAGGCGACGAUCCGUAGCUGGUCUGAGAGGACGACCAGCCACACUGGGACUGAGACACGGCCCAGACUCCUACGGGAGGCAGCAGUGGGGAAUUUUGGGCAAUGGGGGCAACCCUGAUCCAGCCAUGCCGCGUGCGGGAAGAAGGCCUUCGGGUUGUAAACCGCUUUUGUUCGGGAAGAAAUCCUCUGGGCUAAUACCCCGGGGGGAUGACGGUACCGGAAGAAUAAGCACCGGCUAACUACGUG